rnacentral:lncRNA from 1 species
AUGAGCUCCAGGCUCGGGGAGCAGCCCCUAGUCGAUGUACCUCACUGUCACCAGCGGGCUGGCGAAGCGCACGUGGCGGCUGCGGCGCCGCUGGACGAGCCGUGUCCAGCAGCCCACCAGCAGCUCCCUCAGCGAGGAGCAGAGCUCCAGGAGCCCACAGCCCGUCCUGCUGGCCUCGGGCUCCCUGGCCUCGGGCAGCUGCUGCGGGGGCCUGGGCAGGGACAGGGAGCCCCGGCCCCGAGCAGCGGCCACGCUCCUGCCCAGCCCCAGAGAGCUGAUGCUGCCCCUGGGGGCCGUGGGGCCGAAGCCCUGCACUUCUCCGGGGGGCAGGAACCAGGCCAUGGCCCUGCAGCUGCUGCCGUGCUCCAGCUCCAGGAAGAUGCUGCUGCCUGCAGUCCCUGCCUUGCCGUGGGGCUUGGGGCCCAGUCUCUUGGCCUUGGCUUUGUCCUUCCUGCCCGCCUUCGGCCGCUGCUGGCCGCGGCCCUGCGGCCCCUCCUUGCCCCCCAGCAGCCCCACGGGCGCCUCAGGCUGGGCUGCCCUGCAGCCCUUCUGCAUCCACCGGGGCAGCUGUGCCUGCAGCUCCUUGCACUGCUCCUCCAAGAGCACCUGGGAGGUUGGGGUGAGCCUUGGGCGAAGGUCUUGGGGCACCCCAUGGUACCAUCCCUGGAGCUCCAGGUUACCAGUACAGGCCGGUGGAGAGGUUCCCCAGAGACCUGCAGGGUUCCAGUAAGGGGAAUCCAACCCUGGUGGGAUGGCAGAGGCCGAGGCUGUUGUCUGCCAAGACACUGCCAGACUGUUGUGCCCAGCACUAUCUGCUCCUGUGGGGCCCCUUUUAUAGCCUGGCAGAGUCCCCUGUGUGACAUCAUGGGGCAGCCAGACCCCUCUUUGUGACAGUGUGGGACAGUCAGAAAUCCCUUUGUGACAGCCAGGAGCCCAGGGGAGAGCCCUCCCUGCCUCGGGUGCAGGACUGUGAGAAAGAAACUUCUGAGAUAAUGGAAACAAGUUAGAAAAAAAUUGGAGGACAAAAUACAAACCAGAAAAGAGAAGUGUUGUGAUGGGGGAACUGUCGUGGGCACAGCGACCACCAAAGGAAAUGGAAACAAGUUAGAAAAAAAUUGGAGGACAAAAUACAAACCAGAAAAGAGAAGUGUUGUGAUGGGGGAACUGUCCUGGGCACAGCGACCACCAAAGGAAGAGUUUUGGAUUCCCAGGGAAGCAGGAGGGAGGCAGCUUGUUCUCACCCCCUGCCAUGGUCAGGGACACUUUCCACUAGUCCAGGUUA